rnacentral:rRNA from 1 species
CCUACGGGAGGUAGCAGUGGGGAAUAUUGGGCAAUGGGCGCAAGCCUGACCCAGCAACGCCGCGUGAAGGAAGAAGGCUUUCGGGUUGUAAACUUCUUUUCUCAGGGACGAAGAAAGUGACGGUACCUGAGGAAUAAGCCACGGCUAACUACGUGCCAGCAGCCGCGGUAAUACGUAGGUGGCAAGCGUUAUCCGGAUUUACUGGGUGUAAAGGGCGUGUAGGCGGGACUGCAAGUCAGAUGUGAAAACCACGGGCUCAACCUGUGGCCUGCAUUUGAAACUGUAGUUCUUGAGUACUGGAGAGGCAGACGGAAUUACUGGUGUAGCGGUGAAAUGCGUAGAUAUUAGGAGGAAAACCAGUGGCGAGGGCGGUCUGCUGGACAGCAACUGACGCUGAGGCGCGAAAGCGUGGGGAGCAAACAGGAUUAGAUACCCGAGUAGU